GAUGAACGCUGGCGGCGUGCCUAAUACAUGCAAGUCGAGCGAACCUCUUCGGAGGUUAGCGGCGGACGGGUGAGUAACACGUGGGCAACCUACCUUGUAGAUGGGGAUAACAUCGAGAAAUCGGUGCUAAUACCGAAUAACACUUUUCUCCACAUGGAGAAAAGUUAAAAGUUGGCUUUUGCUAACACUACAAGAUGGGCCCGCGGCGCAUUAGCUAGUUGGUGAGGUAACGGCUCACCAAGGCGACGAUGCGUAGCCGACCUGAGAGGGUGAUCGGCAACACUGAGACUGAGACACGGCGCAGACUCCUACGGGAGGGAGCAGUAGGGAAUCGUCCGCAAUGGACGAAAGUCUGACGGAGCAACGCCGCGUGAGUGAUGAAGGCCUUCGGGUCGUAAAACUCUGUUGUUAGGGAAGAACAAGUACCGUUCGAAUAGGGCGGUACCGUGACGGUACCUAACCAGAAAGCCACGGCUAACUACGUGCCAGCCGCCGCCGUAA
rnacentral:rRNA from 1 species